GUCACCGCAGCCUCCUGGGUUACCACUGUCGCUGGAUGCCUAGCUUUGCACAGUUUCAUUUGACACAACCAAGAGAGCCGGUGCUUAUUCCUCGGGCUCAUACGCGCAUGCCAAACCACCGAUCGUGGGUCCCCCCCUCACACGUCACACCCCGUCACUGUCUCACACGUGAUGGGUGUGAGCUAGGUCGUGGCUCGUGGGCUUGAGGCUCGACCCCGCUGCUGCACCACGCUUCAUGCCACGUAAAGCCAGCCUGCUCACGCUCACCCACGUCCCUCCUGCCACCCCCACUUUGCUGUUGGUGAUGGUGGCGGCGGUGGUGAUGAUGGAAUGAAAGACACAAAAUAAUACGGGGCGCAACAGAAGAGUAAAAAGUACCUCACGGCAAGCUCAAAAACACCUUCGCUUCAUGGCCAGCAAGAAGUCAAAUGUGGCACGCACUUCUUAGUACGUAGCCCCUGUCCACCUAGCAGUAAGCAGGUACGGGAUGUAACCUGAGGAGCUGUGACCUCGCUGUCCCGGUGUGUGGUGUGUGAGUGGUUUCAGUCCUACCUAAAGAUCUGGCUGAGCUCUUUUCGCAGGAUAGGUGAAUGACACACACACACACACACACACAAAUACACACACACACACACACACACACA